UUUAGUAUCUCGAGGUUUGUUCUAAAUAAAUGUAUUUCUCAAACUGUGAACAUAUAGGGUGCAGGAGAAAAGUGGGGUGUUGGGGCUUUUUGAGUUACUGGAGGUGUGUUGUAACAGAAUGUUUUUUUAACGUUGGCAUAUAUAAUGCAGGCGAGCAAUAGAGUACUUACAGCUGGAUGUUAGGUCGUCCUUCUCUUGCUCCCCCCGAGAGGCUCUGGAGCAGCAGGAGCUUCUGCCUGCCCCCGAGACCCUCUACCCAGCCCCGUCCCCCAGUUCCGCCACCCGCUCCCUCCGCCUUGCUGCCUCGGCGCUCUCUGCUCCCCCGAGGCCUCUCCUGGGGACCCCUCGGCUCCCGGCCCAGCUCCUGGCUCCUCUCCUCUCUUCUCCUCUCCUGCGGGCUGUGGGCUCCCGACUGCUCGGCCCAUGCGGCUGCUCGGUUCCGGUUCCCAGGUCCAGCGGUGGCCAGACUAGCCUGGCACACUAGGUAGCAAGUCCCCCACCCCCUCCCUCUCUGCCCCCGUCCCCCAUCCUCUCCUGGAUAUGUAGUGAAACCUGAUUGUGCGGCUGCCAUCCUGAUUUUGCUGACACCCCAGCACUUCCUGGGCGAGUCCCUGCUGCCAUUAAUGGUCAUUAAGCAAGUGCAGUUUUGCCCAUUGCUGUCACUUGCCGUAACUCCAAGCCGAUCGCCCUGCACCCAAGUCAUGAGCGUGCAACCCUGGAGAUGCUGCUACAGUCAUAUGUGCGAGGACCCGUGAUACAUCACACUUUUCAGUGCCAUUGGAAGUGUAGGCACAGCGAGGAUCUCCCUCGUUUGGAUGUGUCAGAAGAAAGAGACAGUUCCCAUUAAGGCAGAAUUAGGGGGCGAGACUAGAAAUGUGGGGCUCAAUCCCGGAUCACAGCGGUGCUGAUACCUGCCGUGUUAGCAGCCUCCGUUCCUGUGGACAAACUGCCAAUCCACCAUCUCAAAGCUCAAGGCAGUGAACAUACCGAAGACUCCUUCGUCCCUACAACAACAAGCUUGUGAGACAGGUCAGCAACAGGGAAGAAACGGCCCUAAAGUGAAUAUCCCUGGGCUAUCUCUCUGUGGCCAGUGAUGGUUAAGCAGUCAAGAGAUGCCUUUGACCUUCAGACCCAGGAAUUCAAGAGACAAACAAUGGAUGAAAGAGCAGCACACUUGCCUCAAGAAGAUGGUCCAUCAACUAAAGAGCACAACAAAAAAGUGGCAGAAAACUGCUGGACAAAAGAGAAAGGUUGGAGCGUGCCACCACCAUGAUCCCUCAGCGAGGGCUAAAGAUCAAAUAUUUGGUGAAACACACUGAAGAACUGCACAAAGAACGCUGCAGGUCAGCAGCCAAGCGGCCUUUCUCAAAUAUGAGAAGGCUGCCUUAGAACCUUUGAGAAGAGGUCUCGAAGAAGUCUGGAAUCUUCUUAAGAACUUAAGAAGCACCUCUAUAGUCUGCAGCAUGAACAGGUUGAGACGGGCCAAAGUUACUAUAUGGAGAAAAGCCACUCCAGCCAACUGAUGCAGAAAGUCAGUCCUCUUCAGCAGAAUUUGAGGGGAAAAAAGAAGCAAGUCAACAAUCUACAGCAGCAACAGCAGCCGCCGCAGAGCUAUGCUUCCCAGGCCACUGUUGGAGACCUGUGGAAAGCCGAGGAGGACAACGGAGAAGGACUGAACCAUGUCAAAAUGACGAUGCAAGAAUUACAGCUGCAGACCAGGUGUUUCGAGAAAGACAGUGAAGAUCUCCACAGGGAGGUCCCCAGCCAAGUGGCCUUCUUCAGAAAUGGUUUUGGUGCUCCUAAGCGACCAGCACAUGGGACAACUCGCUGACCCUCUCUCCCCAUAGCUGGAAUGGAGUUACGGUGGCCUUUUACCCUUUCACCCCCUUCCCCUCCCUUCCCCUGACUUGCCACUUAGUGUGCCGGGGAGCCAGGCGAGCCCCCCCCCUUUACCAGCUGAAGCAACACCUUCACCCUCGCCCUCCCAAUCACUGCAGGGCUGUCAGCUGAGCUGAACACCUCACAGCCACCGAGCAUCAGGGCCUGAGAGGGCUGGGGAAUCCCAGGGCUCCGAGCCAAAAAGGAGCCUGGAGGUGAACUUGGUAGGGUGAGUCCACAGGCUCCUCUCCAAGCCUCAGAGUUCCAGCUGAGGAUGAGGGCCACCAGGGACAGGGUGAGGGCUCUGCGGUGGGCAGAGCAGAAAGUCUGGCCAGAACAGGAUCUGGAACCCACAACCGAGUGGCUGAAUGAGCCGAGCAGCUGGCAUCCCAGCAGCCCACAGGAGAGGAGCAGAGAGGAGAACAGCUAGAAGCCGAACUGGGAGCCGAGGGGUCCGCAGGAGACGCCACGAGGCAGCAGAGACCCCCGGAGGCCGCAAGGCUGACGGAGCUGGUGGCAGAGCUGGAAGACAGGGCUGGGCUGAGGGUCUCGGGGGCAGGCAGACAUUCCUGCUGCUCCAGAGCCUGCAAGAGAGUGGCAACAGAAGGGAGAAGCCGGGGGUGGUCAGUGGCCUGUGGGUGGUCAAGUAGUCUUAGGGGUGGUAGAACAUAAGAGAUUGAUUCAUAGGGCUGGAAGGGACUUUGGAGGUCUUCUACUCUAACCGUCUGCUCAAGGCAGGAACUUUCUGCCAUCCCAGUCAAAUGGUUUGCUUGUCCAUUUUUGAAAACUUCCAGUGAUGGAGCACUCACAACUUCUUACUGUCUCAAAAUUUCUCCUGACUUCUUGGUUGGGUCUCCCUUUCAACGUCCACCCUUGGCUUUUUUCCUGCUCUGCAGUUCUUAAGUCACUCCCUGUCCUUUGAGACAGACCCUAACAGUCUGGAAGACUGCUGUUGUGUCUGCCCGAUCCUUAUCCUCUUCGAUAGGUUACACAUAGCGAACUCCCUGAACCGUUCAUGAAAUGAUUUAGCCUCCAGCUCUUAAAUCAUCUUUGUUGCUCUUCUCUUCACACUUUCUGCAGUCUCAACAAUGUUUUCUAUCGGGCUGACCAGAGUUGGAUACAGUAUUCCAAGGUGGUCUCACCAGUGCGAUAUAAAGCGGUAGCAGCACUUCUGGCCAUCUUGAAACUGCCCCUCUUUUAUUGCUGCCUAAGACUGCAUUGGCCUAUGUUGACACCUGCAGCACACAUCUGGCUGAUCCUUCAGUGGUUUUCCUCUAGAUCCGUCUCACAAUUAUCCCUGCUGAGCCAUUCUGUGCCUGUGCAAUUGAUUUUCCUGCCUAAGGAAGAACUGUACUUUUCUCACCAAUGAACUGCAUCUUGUUAGAUGGGCCCAAUGUUCAAGUCUGUCAAGAUCCUCCUGGAUAUUGAGCCUAUCUUCCAACAAUCUUGAUGUCCUCUGCACAUUUGAUGAGUUCCCCUUCUAUCCCCUCAUCUAGAUCAUUGAUGAAGAUGUGGAAGAGUCCUAGGCCGAAGGCAGAUCCCUGAGGUACCCCACUGAAUGCUUCCCUUCUUGUAGAUGUACCGGUAGCUCCAUUAAGGAAUAAAUGCUGGGUGCGGCUGGUCAGCCCCCUGAGGACCCACCACUUGAUUCUCUAUUCCAGGAUUUUCCCAGGAAUUGAUGUCAAGCUCUUUUUCCAGUUCUCUGAGAGCUCCCCUGGGCUGCAGGAGCAUUCAGAAAUGACGUUUGGUGACCCCAAAAUUAGGUCUGCCAGCUCCUUUGGAAGCCUGGGAGGGUUGGUGUCAUUUCUACCCAUCCAGAGUGGAUUGGUCCUCUUUGACUAAUUUCGUGCCUAUUUGGAAUCGUAUAUAGAUUCUAUCUCUCUCGAUGUUGCUGUUGAUAGGCUGAUUUUUUUUCUUUUGCUGAAAAAGAGAUGGAAAGGAGUUAAGCAUUUCUGAAUUCACCCUGCUGCCUGUCUCCUUCCUGCCUUCUGCUCCCAUCAGUGGACCUAUUGACUUUCUUGACUUUCUUCUUGUUCCUUACAUAAAAUUUUCCUUUAUUAUUUUUGGCCUUUGUUGCCAGUCUUUGCCCAUUCCAGGCCUUUGCUAUUCCGAGUCCGUCCUUGCA